AGCAGAUGAUGAAAAGGAACCAUAACAGCACCUUGUAGCUGAGGCCAACCUUCCAGGGUGAUGCUGUGGGGCACAUCUGCCCUGAAGAGUUGGAGCUCUCCUGUGAUAAAAAUCUGGAAGGUCACAUUGGUUGAUGGGACAGGGUUGGAGCUUUGGGGGGGUAUCCUGGUGCUGAGUAACAGGGGUCAGUCUGCUUAUGGAAAAAAAAAAUGACUGGAAGGUGCUUAGGGACUGAGAUUAUGAGAGUAAGCGACCAACAUCUGCCCCAUGGGACCAGUCUGAAGCAGGCAGAGUGGUGGGGAAGCAGACCUACACCCUCCAUCUUGAUCCUUCCUGACUGCUGGUCUUGGAGUCUCCAGAGGCUUCUGGCCCAGAGAUUUACCAUGGGUGUGCACACUCUGUCUGCAGCAAGAGUGGGUACAGGGUCCACCUGAAAGCAAAAGCCUGAUGAGGGACCUUGCUUGGGUCCUGAUCCCUCCUGCUGGUGUUCCCUAGGGGAAACAAUAGGGAAGCUGGGUAGGGAAUUCACUCAUACAUUUUUUUUUUAAUUUGUUGGUACUGAGGAUUGAACCCACUCUAACACUGACCUACAUCCUCAGCCCUUUUCACUUUUUGACAAUCAAGAUCUCUAUAAAUUGCCCAGAUUGGCCUCACACUUUCAUUCCUGCCUCAGCCUCAUGAGCAGCUAGGAUUGCAGAUGUGUGUACCGCAGCCAGACACUCAUGCACUAUUAUCCAGAGAUGUAUUUAUUGACAUCAUAUUUUAUGUUUUCACUUAAGCAUAUUAUACAUUUUAGUGUUUAAGUGUUGUUUUUGGUUAUCCUGAAGCAUUAUUUAUUGUGCUGAGUUUUCAUUUUACAAAAAUUUUUUAUUUUUAAUCCAAGUUAAUUUUUCCUAACAGAAAGUGUCAAAUAUUUACAUAAGUUAAUUCAUGAAAAGUCAGGACCCUCUUUAUCUCCUCUUGAUUUUCUACCUUCUUAGGUGCUACCACUUUCAGUGUUAUAGCUGAUUCUUUUCAGUUUUACUUUUCAUCUUUUGUGGUUUCUGUUGGUGCUGGAGAUGGAACUCUGGGCUCACACAAGCUGGGCAAGUGCUCUACCACUGAGCUGCACUCCCGGCCCUCAACUUUUGCCUCUGUAACUCUAAAUACAAGGCCUCUGUUAAGGCUGCUGGCCUUUUCCUUUGCAGGCUCUGUUGCAGUGCUCCAUGGCUGACACAGAAGUUAGUAGGAAUUGUUCUCUCUCACUCCUGCCCUUCCCCGAGCUUCCAAUGUUUUUAUACAAAAAUUAUGUUCAGCUCAGUCAUUCUGUUUCUGUUUCCAUGACAAUUAUUCUAAUAUAUAAAGUUCCAUAGUUUCCACUUCCAGUACACCAUUUUGUUCUUGGUAUAGAAUUC
rnacentral:lncRNA from 1 species